rnacentral:rRNA from 1 species
GUCCACGCCCUAAACGAUGAAUACUAACUGUAUGCGAUAUACUGUAUGCGGUACAGCGAAAGCGUUAAGUAUUCCACCUGGGGAGUACGUUCGCAAGAAUGAAACUCAAAGGAAUUGACGGGGGCCCGCACAAGCGGAGGAACAUGUGGUUUAAUUCGAUGAUACGCGAGGAACCUUACCCGGGCUUGAAAUGCAGAAGACCGACGAAAGAAAUUCGUUUUCCAGCAAUGGCUUCUGUGUAGGUGCUGCAUGGUUGUCGU